GGCCCCGUGGUGUAGUGGUUAACAUGCCUGCCUGUCACGCAGGAGAUCGUCGGUUCAA
rnacentral:tRNA from 1 species